UUUUAUGAGAGUUUGAUCCUGGCUCAGGACGAACGCUGGCGGCGUGCCUAAUACAUGCAAGUAGAACGCUGAAGUCUGGUGCUUGCACUAGACGGAUGAGUUGCGAACGGGUGAGUAACGCGUAGGUAACC
rnacentral:rRNA from 1 species